AAACCAACAGGGAUUGCCUCAGUAACGGCGAGUGAAGCGGCAAAAGCUCAAAUUUGAAAUCCCCCCGGGGAGUUGUAAUUUGAAGAUUGCGUCUUGGAGGCGACCGUGUCUAUGUUCCUUGGAACAGGACGUCACAGAGGGUGAGAAUCCCGUGCGGCACGGCCCCCGGCUCCUUAUAAGGCGCUCUCGACGAGUCGAGUUGUUUGGGAAUGCAGCUCAAAGUGGGUGGUAAAUUCCAUCUAAAGCUAAAUACAGGCGAGAGACCGAUAGCGAACAAGUACAGUGAUGGAAAGAUGAAAAGCACUUUGAAAAGAGAGUGAAACAGCACGUGAAAUUGUUGAAAGGGAAGGGCAUGCCGUCAGAUUGUCAGUGUGGGUAAGAAGCGGGGUACAAAGACUGUGGAACGUGGCCCUCGGGUGUUAUAGCCGCAGUUCAUGCCCCGUCUCUUUCCGAGGCCUGCUUUGAGGACAC
rnacentral:rRNA from 1 species